rnacentral:rRNA from 1 species
UACGUAGGGUGCAAGCGUUGUCCGGAAUUAUUGGGCGUAAAGAGCUCGUAGGCGGCCAACUAAGUCGGAUGUGAAAUCCCCAGGCUCAACUUGGGAACUGCAUCCGAUACUGGAUGGCUUGAAUUCGGGAGAGGGAUGCAGAAUUCCAGGUGUAGCGGUGAAAUGCGUAGAUAUCUGGAGGAAUACCGGUGGCGAAGGCGGCAUCCUGGACCGACAUUGACGCUGAGGAGCGAAAGCUAGGGGAGCAAACGGG